CCUACGGGUGGCAGCAGUGAGGAAUAUUGGUCAAUGGGCGAGAGCCUGAACCAGCCAAGUCGCGUGAGGGAGUACUGCCCUAUGGGUUGUAAACCUCUUUUGUCGGGGAGCAAAAGCCGGACGUGUCCGGCUGUGAGAGUACCCGAAGAAAAAGCAUCGGCCAACUCCGUGCCAGCAGCCGCGGUAAUACGGAGGAUGCGAGCGUUAUCCGGAUUUAUUGGGUUUAAAGGGUUCGCAGGCGGAUUUUUAAGUCAGCGGUAAAAUCGUGGGGCUCAACCCCAUCCAGCCGUUGAAACUGGGGAUCUAGAGUGUGCGAGAGGUAUGCGGAAUGCGUGGUGUAGCGGUGAAAUGCAUAGAUAUCACGCAGAACCCCGAUUGCGAAGGCAGCAUACCGGUGCACAACUGACGCUCAGGCACGAAAGCGUGGGUAUCGAACAGGAUUAGAUACCCCUGUAGUC
rnacentral:rRNA from 1 species